rnacentral:rRNA from 1 species
GAUGAACGCUGGCGGCGUGCUUAACACAUGCGAGUCGAACGAUGAAGCCCAGCUUGCUGGGUGGAUUAGUGGCGAACGGGUGAGUAACACGUGAGUAACCUGCCCUUAACUCUGGGAUAAGCCUGGGAAACUGGGUCUAAUACCGGAUAGGAGCGUCCACCGCAUGGUGGGUGUUGGAAAGAUUUAUCGGUUUUGGAUGGACUCGCGGCCUAUCAGCUUGUUGGUGAGGUAAUGGCUCACCAAGGCGACGACGGGUAGCCGGCCUGAGAGGGUGACCGGCCCAAUGGGACUUGGGACACGGCCCGAACCCCUCGGGGGGGAGGAGGUGGGGAUUUUUGCACAAGGGGUGCAGCCCUGUUGCAGCGACCCCGGGUGGGGAUGAACGGCCUUCGGGUUGAAAACCCUUUUCAGUGGGAAAGAGGCGAAGUUACCGGUACCGGCAAAAGAAGCCCCGCCUAACUCCGU